rnacentral:tRNA from 1 species
CCCGGUGCUGGGCGACUCGGGGACGCUCGCGUUCCUCGACGGCGCGUCCGUGGACGCCGUCGUCGCGGAGAACCGCGUCCUGUCCCGGCAUCUGGC